GGUGGUAGAGUGGUAUAGUGUCAGGGUGGUAGAGUGGUAUAGUGUCAGGGUGGUAGAGUGUCAGGGUGGUAGAGUGGUAUAGUGUCAGGGUGGUAGAGUGGUAUAGUGUCAGGGUGGUAGAGUGGUAUAGUGUCAGGGUGGUAGAGUGGGUGGGUGGUAGAGUGGUAUAGUGUCAGGGUGGUAGAGUGUCAGGGUGGUAGAGUGGUCAUGUGUCAGGAUGGUAGAGUGUCAGGGUGGUAGAGUGUCAGGAUGGUAGAGUGUCAGGGUGGUAGAGUGGUAGAGUGUCAGGGUGGUAGAGUGGUAGAGUGUCAGGGUGGUAGAGUGUCAGGGUGGUAGAGUGUCAGGGUGGUAGAGUGUCAGGGUGGUAGAGUGUCAGGGUGGUAGAGUGGUAGAGUGUCAGGGUGGUAGAGUGUCAGGGUGGUAGAGUGUCAGGAUGGUAGAGUGUCAGGGUGGUAGAGUGGUAUAGUGUCAGGGUGGUAGAGUGUCAGGGUGGUACAGUGUCAGGGUGGUAGAGUAUGAGGGUGGUAGAGUAUGGGGGUGGUACGAUGUCAGGGUGGUAGAGUGUCAGGGUGGUAGAUUGGUAUGAUGUCAGGGUGGUAGAGUGUGAGGGUGGUACAAUGUCAGGGUGGUAGAUUGGUACGAUGUCAGGGUGGUAGAGUGUCAGGAUGGUAGAGUGUGAGGGUGGUGGGAUGUCAGGGUGGUGGAGUGUCAGGGUGGUACAGUGUGAGGGUGGUAGGAUGUCAGGGUGGUACAGUGUGAGGGUGGUAGGAUGUCAGGGUGGCAGAGUGUGAGGGUGGACACAGUCACACUCACCUUGCCUCCUUUGUCUGCACUGUAGAGCUGCAUGCACAGGGAGGCAGAGAGGAGAGGGGGAACAAGAGAAGAGAAGAGAAGAGAGCAUAUUGAGUUAGAGACAGUUGGAGGAGAGCAGGCCUGAUGGGAAAUAACCAGACAGCAGACAGUAUCAUGGUUAAAGGAAAUAACCAGACAGUACCAUGGUUAAAGGAAAUAACCAGACAGUACCGUGGU
ensembl:lncRNA